rnacentral:misc_RNA from 1 species
AACUGAUACUACCUGCGGGAACCUGCGGAAGGAUCAUUACAGGACUCGCAAGACUCCUACAACCCUGUGAACUUAACUAUAAGCACGUUGCUUCGGCGGGUGUCUCGGCGAGGGUUCUCCCUCCCCGGGGCGCUAAGCCCGCCGGCAGCCUACUAUACUCUGUCUCUUUGCGUUGGCAUCUCGAGUACAAACAAACAAGUUAAAACUUUUAACAAUGGAUCUCUAGAUCGGAAGAGCACA